GGCCUUCGGGUUGUAAAGCUCUUUUGUCAGGGAAGAAACGGUGAGAGCUAAUAUCUCUUGCUAAUGACGGUACCUGAAGAAUAAGCACCGGCUAACUACGUGCCAGCAGCCGCGGUAAUACGUAGGGUGCAAGCGUUAAUCGGAAUUACUGGGCGUAAAGCGUGCGCAGGCGGUUUUGUAAGUCUGAUGUGAAAUCCCCGGGCUCAACCUGGGAAUUGCAUUGGAGACUGCAAGGCUAGAAUCUGGCAGAGGGGGGUAGAAUUCCACGUGUAGCAGUGAAAUGCGUAGAUAUGUGGAGGAACACCGAUGGCGAAGGCAGCCCCCUGGGUCAAGAUUGACGCUCAUGCACGAAAGCGUGGGGAGCAAACAGGAUUAGAUACCCUGGUAGUCCACGCCCUAAACGAUGUCUACUAGUUGUCGGGUCUUAAUUGACUUGGUAACGCAGC
rnacentral:rRNA from 1 species